CGCCAAAGUUGAAUCAGCGCAGAGACACUCCAGCACUUUUUAUUUGCGUCUAAAACAAGGAAAAAGGAUAAAAAUAAAAAUGACAGAAGAGGGGAAUCUGGACCUGUUGCUGUCUUUAUUUGCAGAGAGUGAGGGCCAAGAUCCAGAGACUGCUGCAGCUGCUGGAGAGAGCAGUGACAAUCUGGACGACCUCUGUGAUGGAAGAUGAAGAUGAUGAUCAAUUUGUUGAGCCUGAGGAGGAACAGGAGAAUGAGGAAGGGGUGCCACCUGGGAAAUCCAGCUCAGCUGUUGGCAACGGUGACUUGAAUAAGUCGAAAGAACAUCUUGAGGGGGAAAACCUUCAGCAUCUGGAAACUGAAUGAUCUUCAUAACUUGGAAGUGUAUGUGUCCCUCUUUCUAUUUGGGAAUAUUCACAUGGAUUUGUGGAAGACUGACACUGGAAC